UACGAAGGGGGCUAGCGUUGUUCGGAAUCACUGGGCGUAAAGGGCGCGUAGGCGGCCGAUUAAGUCGGGGGUGAAAGCCUGUGGCUCAACCACAGAAUUGCCUUCGAUACUGAUUGGCUUGAGACCGGAAGAGGUCAGUGGAACUGCGAGUGUAGAGGUGAAAUUCGUAGAUAUUCGCAAGAACACCAGUGGCGAAGGCGGCUGACUGGUCCGGUUCCGACGCUGAGGCGCGAAAGCGUGGGGAGCAAACAGG
rnacentral:rRNA from 1 species